AAGAAGAAAAGGAAAAGCUAAAAGAAGAGGUGAUCAAAAGUGGAUCAACAUUAUGUACUCAAUGUUGUUUUCAAGGAUUUAUUUUGGUUCUUGUUUUGUUGAU
rnacentral:ribozyme from 16 species